rnacentral:rRNA from 1 species
UACGUAGGGUGCGAGCGUUAAUCGGAAUUACUGGGCGUAAAGCGUGCGCAGGCGGUUCGUUGUGUCGGUGGUGAAAGCCCCGGGCUUAACCUGGGAAUGGCCAUGGAAACUGGCGAACUGGAGUGUGGCAGAGGGGGGUGGAAUUCCGCGUGUAGCAGUGAAAUGCGUAGAGAUGCGGAGGAACACCGAUGGCGAAGGCAGCCCCCUGGGCUAGCACUGACGCUCAGGCACGAAAGCGUGGGGAGCAAACAGA